rnacentral:tRNA from 1 species
AGGUAUAUAACUCAGCGGUAGAAUAUCACCUUGACGUAGUGGAAGUCAUCAGUUUGAGCCUGAUUAUCCAAU